GAUGAACGCUGGCGGCGUGCCUAAUACAUGCAAGUCGAGCGAACAGACGAGGAGCUUGCUCCUCUGACGUUAGCGGCGGACGGGUGAGUAACACGUGGAUAACCUACCUAUAAGACUGGGAUAACUUCGGGAAACCGGAUCUAAUACCGGAUAAUAUAUUGAACCGCAUGGUUCAAUAGUGAAAGACGGUGUUGCUGUCACUUAUAGAUGGAUCCGCGCCGCAUUAGCUAGUUGGUAAGGUAACGGCUUACCAAGGCAACGAUGCGUAGCCGACCUGAGAGGGUGAUCGGCCACACUGGAACUGAGACACGGUCCAGACUCCUACGGGAGGCAGCAGUAGGGAAUCUUCCGCAAUGGGCGAAAGCUUGACGGAGCAACGCCGCGUGAGUGAUGAAGGUCUUCGGAUCGUAAAACUCUGUUAUUAGGGAAGAACAAAUGUGUAAGUAACUAUGCACGUCUUGACGGUACCUAAUCAGAAAGCCACGGCUAACUACGUG
rnacentral:rRNA from 1 species